AAAUCCUAAAACUGGAUAUGCUUCGACCCCAAGCGUUAAUAUGAUGACACCUGUAGAAAUGGGUUUUAUCAUUUUCCCAUGUCCGGACAUAGUAUCUCCACCAAACAUGAUGAUCGGAGCGACCCAUGUUGAACUGGGAAUACCAGUCGAUAUACACAAUGUUGUGGAGCACAUGAGUAAACUUGAAUUUAUGGUAGUACUUGAUUGGGGAUCUCAAAUAGGACCUUAUCCAUGUCAUAUUCGAGAUCAAGGUUUCCAAAAAUAUUGUUGUUAGACUUGAGGAUUAGCUCGCAACUCAGGUUGUUGUUUGUCGAUGGAUCCAAAAUUUUGUUGUUUAGUUUGCUUAUUAGCUUGCAGCUCAGGUUGUUACCUAUUGGUAUAUAUCUAGCUAUACACUACUAGAAACUUGGCUUUCAGCUAGGGAUUCAGAGAGGGUUUUAUUCUUUAGCAAAUUUUAGGCCUUAUAGCGAGCAAAUUACGAGAGAUAUGCGAUGGUUUAAAAGAUUAUUUUAUUUAUUCAACAUAAUGCAUAUUAGAGAGGGUUUAGCGAGGGAUCAGCUACGGAUCUCACAACUAUUUAUCGACACAUUCUUAUUCCUCGGCAAUCGGUUGAAAACGAAGGCAUUUGGCGAGGGUUCAACGAGGGAUAAAAAAAGUGUCAACUUUUUCCAUCUGGUACGUGUUUAUCGAGGGAUUGCUGACGGAGGGUACGCGCGUUAUGUUUUUUUAAUUGACGAUCUCUCGCUGAAAUUGGCGCUAUCCAAUUCCAGUUUCACGAAGUUUAUAUGACGACACCACUGACCAAUGCAGCUUCCGAUUCUGGCAGCCUCCACAUUUUUAAAAUCUAAAAUUAUUCUCGUUAACUUCCGAUUCAGGUAAAUCUCUUGAUUUUAUUUCCUUUAGUCGUAUAUUAGGUUAGGUUUACGUUAGGGCUUAAUUUCUCCAUUUUUUCCUUUUUCAAUCAUCAUUCCUCUUAUAUCUCAGCAUUAUAUAUACACGAAUCACCUUGAAGCUUUCUGGUUAUUGUGUAUCAUAGCCAUAUGGAAUGCCUUCUCCUUUAUCAGCAAAUUAAUUUCAGGUCUACCAUCGAUUGCAUCUAUAUAAGAAUAGACACUUAGAAUUAGAACUUGAUUUAGGGAUUGAUUGGUUAAUUAUUGUUUAAAAGCUAUAAAUUGGUUAGUUGUUGUUGAUCCAUGAGUUCUUACAGGUCUAGCCUACACGAAUUUUAUGGAAAAGUAAGUAGAAGGGAAUUACAACGCCGAUAAAGAACAUAUAGUGGUUUAGAGAAUAGCUUACCCAAAAUGACACCUAAUUUGCUCCCCUUAAGUUUACUCCUGUUGUUCUUGUCAAUUGGAAAGCCUGCUUUGAAGUACACAACUCUGAACAUUAACGUCUUGAACAUAGUCUUAUCUCCUAUUUCUACGAACAAACACCUUUAUAAGAAUAGAAAUUGUUUUUGUAUUUCUUUUGGUGAAUUCACUUAAGGUUCAUUAGACUAUAUUUGUAUUUUUAUCUAACUCACAGCCUUGCUAGUUGAAUUUAACAGGUUAAUUGAGAAUUAGAUGAUAGUUUGAAACAAAAAGAUAGGGCAUACCUAAUAAUAAAGGCCAAUUGUAGAGAAAAGAAACGUAUUUCAGACAAAAUGUUGUGCAAGUUAUAAGUUUAUAAUCAUAUAAGGGACCCACCAAAUCCUAAUCACUUCAAAAAGAAAUUGACUUAUUUAAAUUAUCUAUUUGGAUCAUCUGUAAAAAACUUUUUUUAUAAUUGAGAUUUCAGAUAAUGCCUUUUAGGUUAUGAUUGUUUUAAAAGUCUAAACUUGCAGCAUAUUACUUUGGUUUUAUGUGUAUAACAUAUCACAGAAAAUGUAAGUUUGUUACUAUAUAUGUCUAUUUACUGUCUCUAGGUUGUCAACAUUUUGAUUUUACCUGAUGCAUCAUCAUAUGAACAAACACCUUUAUAGCUGUUUAUAUAUUGUUGUGCACUGAAGGUUCAUUUUCUAUGAUAAUAUACCUGUUUUUGUAUAUCUUUUGGUGAAUUCACUUAAGUAACAAGCUUCUAUGUGAGGGAAUUCAACAUAAAACAGUGCAAACUCUGAGUGCUUAUAUUACCAGGCUUAUUAGGAGUCACUUUUUUCAACUUCUCUGUCUAAUCUAUGAGUUACAGGAAACUGGGUUUGCUUUUCUGUUUUCUGACCGUUUUACCCCUGGACACCAAUUCGUGGAUCUUUGUUGUGUUUAGGUCAGUUCAUAGUUUGUCAAUACUAUCUUUACAUAUGUUAUUAAUCGGUUCGGUUAUUUUGGUUAUAAAAAAUAAUCAGUAAAAUGAAAAGUCUUAUAGUUAGUGAUGUGGGAUGACAAAAGUCAGGAAGAAAAAGUCUUACUGUUCAGCUAUGUACAGGUGUUUUGUACUAUAUAGUUGAUACAGAAAGAACAGACUUUCUCCAUUUACGUCCCAACUUUUUUUUUUACAAAAUCAUUUUUUUAAAGAAUUCAUACUCUCCAACUUUUUUUUUUUUUUUUUUACAUAUUUGACAUUUCAUUGUGAACAAAAUUCAAGGUAAAAAGAAGUCUAAGAUGUUUAAACAAUUCGGGUAAAUACCUGUGAUUUCUCAGUUUUCUGCACAAGACUAUCGAAUUUUUUUUCAAGCUCUUUAAUUUCAAGUUGAAGAUAUUUUUGCUUAAGUAGAAACAAGUUCCCAUUCAAUCUUUCACCUUUCAGAUUCUGCAUCUUUCCAUUUACCCACAAAAUCCCCUUCAUAUUUUCAAUCUGGUCCUUCAUCUUCUCCAACUGUUUCAACUUUAGAAUCAUUUCCUCCAAAAAACCAACAACUUUUUCUUCAAAAUAAUCACAAAAAUCCCAUAAAUCUAUUUUCACUUUCAAAAACAUAUCUUCAAGAACCUGUUUCUCUACCCGUAAUUUAUCAGCUUCCUCCACAACUUUCAUGGCUGCUUUCUUAUUUAUUUCAAAUGCAGAACCCAUUUUUUGUGACAGCCUUUCUAAGUUCCUCUUGAAGCCUUGCAGCCAAAUUAACAUUUUGCAACCUCAUUUUUCUCAAAUUUUCCUCUGCCCGAAUCGCUCUGUUCUUGAUUCACUAACUCUUCCUCAAGAUUCUUGACAUGGGUUUCAAGAUCUUUAAUCACAAGAUUUGAGUUUGAUUUGCCAAAAUGUUUUAAAAUGAAUUCUGAUGCAAAAUUGACUUCAUUUAUUUUAAUUACUAAUUAGGAUCUAAAAAGAUGAACGUAACAUUAUGAGUUCAUAUCUUUUGAUAAAUAACACCUCAAAUAUUAGAAACUUCCCAUUCACUUUUAAUAAAUAACAAACAUAACCCAUCAAAGCAAGAAAGGUCAAGCUUUAUGGUCAAAGACUCAACUGGACUCGACUCGACUAUGUAUGUACUUUUAUAUGGGAAUCAAAGGAAGAAGAUUGAGUUCUUGAAAGUCAGAGGCUUCCUAAAGAGGUAAUUGAGGUUAUAUUAUGCUAUAAAAUAAAUACAUGUAUAGCUGCAUAAUGUUGUUAUAUGAUGCUAUUGGUGUUUCAAAGGGAUGAUCGGUUGAGGUUAAGCCAUUUGUCGUCUGUUUUCCCUCCAUUUUCAGGUAAGAUGCUACAUUUAUUUUGAAAUUUAAACCAUAUUGAAUUGUAUUUUAAAAAGGAGGAACAGAGAUAUGGAGAUUGAAGCUGGAAACAACGAAAAUUUUGUUGAAUCCCCUUUUGAAUAUAUGCAUUUCAUUACCUACAAAUGUGGAACUAAGGUGGAGUUCAAGCAGGCUCUGGUCCCUAGUAUGGUUUGUUGGAGAGAACACGUAGGGAAGCUCAACAUCAGGCGGCUGAGGCAUCUCUUAUGAAUUUGGCUGAUAAGUAUCUGUCUCGUGCUAAGUCUGGUGGUGGUCUUUAGAUUCUGAGUUAGAGGGGCUGGGUCCUAAGAAAGGGUCGAUUGCAGCACUUAAUGAACUAGUAAGAUCUUAAUCAGUUAUUGUAUGUAUAUCUUACCUUUUCUUUUCGAUUAUUUAAGUGUAUAAUGGAAGGUUUGGGCAUGAGUUUCCAACCUCAACCACACGUUUCAAAUAACAUGGGCCAGACCAACAAGUUAUAUGCACAUGUUGGUAAUGUACUAUUAUUUUGUAGUUAUUUUUGACAGUUGACAUGUUAAUUAGUUUUAGUCAAUGUCUCUUCAGGUUGAAAUAGACGAGGAAGUGUGGGGUAAAGGAGUCGUGUUAACAUGGGAUGAAGCUAAGAUGCAGGUAUCUCUUGUCACUUAUUUCUUCACAUCAAUGAUCAAUGAUCAAUCCCAAUCAAAUGUUAUUAUUAUUUUGAAUUUUUCUCUCUCAAGUUUUACUUUUAUCAGGCUACUGAAAGUGCAUUUGUAAAUUUGAAAGCAAGGAUCAGGGAAUACCCACCUCCUCAAAAACGACAACCUUCUCCUAGGUAGGUGGUCACUUUAAUCUUUCUUUAUUAAUAAUCUAAAAUGUUAAUUUCAGGAAUGAGAACCGAAGAUGAUUGGAUGAACAUGAAAUGAAGAGAGCAGCUAAAAUGUUAUUUUGAAGUUAUGUUUUGUGAAAACUCAUUUCCUUUGGGAGUUUGAUGUUAUGUGGAUAGUUUUGUUUUUGGAUGAUUUUUGAAUGAUGCUUUGGUAAACUUUGAUAGUUUUGGUAUCGUAAUGUUUGGUUGUAUCAUUAUUUGAUGUUUUUUUUGUAUAAUAAUUUGAUAAUUGUAGUAUUUUUUUAUUUUAGAAUCAUAAUAAAAAAAACAUGAUAUUACAUGUUUGUGACG